AUAUAUGAUGAGUAUUCGAACACAUUUUCAAAGCUAGAUAGUAUCUGAAAACGUUUGGGUUAAUAUCCCGAGUGUUUAUGAUUUCAGUGUAUUUGAACGUUAAUAACAUCUCUGAUU
rnacentral:snoRNA from 1 species